AUGAACGCUAGCUACAGGCUUAACACAUGCAAGUCGAGGGGCAUCAGGAAGAAAGCUUGCUUUCUUUGCUGGCGACCGGCGCACGGGUGAGUAACACGUAUCCAACCUGCCCUUUACUCGGGGAUAGCCUUUCGAAAGAAAGAUUAAUACCCGAUGGCAUAAUGAUUCCGCAUGGUUUCAUUAUUAAAGGAUUCCGGUAAAGGAUGGGGAUGCGUUCCAUUAGGUUGUUGGUGAGGUAACGGCUCACCAAGCCUUCGAUGGAUAGGGGUUCUGAGAGGAAGGUCCCCCACAUUGGAACUGAGACACGGUCCAAACUCCUACGGGAGGCAGCAGUGAGGAAUAUUGGUCAAUGGGCGGUAGCCUGAACCAGCCAAGUAGCGUGAAGGAUGAAGGCUCUAUGGGUCGUAAACUUCUUUUAUAUAAGAAUAAAGUGCAGUAUGUAUACUGUUUUGUAUGUAUUAUAUGAAUAAGGAUCGGCUAACUCCGUGCCAGCAGCCGCGGUAAUACGGAGGAUCCGAGCGUUAUCCGGAUUUAUUGGGUUUAAAGGGAGCGUAGGCGGAUUGUUAAGUCAGUUGUGAAAGUUUGCGGCUCAACCGUAAAAUUGCAGUUGAUACUGGCAGUCUUGAGUGCAGUAGAGGUGGGCGGAAUUCGUGGUGUAGCGGUGAAAUGCUUAGAUAUCACGAAGAACUCCGAUUGCGAAGGCAGCUCACUGGACUGCAACUGACACUGAUGCUCGAAAGUGUGGGUAUCAAACAGGAUUAGAUACCCUGGUAGUCCACACAGUAAACGAUGAAUACUCGCUGUUUGCGAUAUACAGUAAGCGGCCAAGCGAAAGCAUUAAGUAUUCCACCUGGGGAGUACGCCGGCAACGGUGAAACUCAAAGGAAUUGACGGGGGCCCGCACAAGCGGAGGAACAUGUGGUUUAAUUCGAUGAUACGCGAGGAACCUUACCCGGGCUUAAAUUGCAGUGGAAUGAUGUGGAAACAUGUCAGUGAGCAAUCACCGCUGUGAAGGUGCUGCAUGGUUGUCGUCAGCUCGUGCCGUGAGGUGUCGGCUUAAGUGCCAUAACGAGCGCAACCCUUAUCUUCAGUUACUAACAGGUCAUGCUGAGGACUCUGGAGAGACUGCCGUCGUAAGAUGUGAGGAAGGUGGGGAUGACGUCAAAUCAGCACGGCCCUUACGUCCGGGGCUACACACGUGUUACAAUGGGGGGUACAGAAGGCAGCUAGCGGGUGACCGUAUGCUAAUCCCAAAAUCCUCUCUCAGUUCGGAUCGAAGUCUGCAACCCGACUUCGUGAAGCUGGAUUCGCUAGUAAUCGCGCAUCAGCCACGGCGCGGUGAAUACGUUCCCGGGCCUUGUACACACCGCCCGUCAAGCCAUGGGAGCCGGGGGUACCUGAAGUACGUAACCGCAAGGAUCGUCCUAGGGUAAAACUGGUGACUGGGGCU
rnacentral:rRNA from 1 species